UACAGAGGGUGCAAGCGUUGUUCGGAAUUAUUGGGCGUAAAGCGCGUGUAGGCGGCUUUGCAAGUCGGGUGUGAAAGCCCUCAGCUCAACUGAGGAAGUGCGCCCGAAACUGCAGAGCUUGAGUACCGGAGAGGAUGGCGGAAUUCCCCAAGUAGAGGUGAAAUUCGUAGAUAUCUGGAGGAACACCGGUGGCGAAGGCGGCAUCCUGGACCGACACUGACGCUGAGGAGCGAAAGCCAGGGGAGCAAACGGG
rnacentral:rRNA from 1 species